rnacentral:piRNA from 1 species
CCUCAUACCAGGAAGGGUUCAGCCCAGG